rnacentral:rRNA from 1 species
AGAGUUUGAUCCUGGCUCAGGAUGAACGCUAGCGACAGGCUUAACACAUGCAAGUCGAGGGGCAGCAUGAUUUGUAGCAAUACAGAUUGAUGGCGACCGGCGCACGGGUGAGUAACGCGUAUGCAACUUACCUAUCAGAGGGGGAUAGCCCGGCGAAAGUCGGAUUAAUACCCCAUAAAACAGGGGUCCCGCAUGGGAAUAUUUGUUAAAGAUUCAUCGCUGAUAGAUAGGCAUGCGUUCCAUUAGGCAGUUGGCGGGGUAACGGCCCACCAAACCGACGAUGGAUAGGGGUUCUGAGAGGAAGGUCCCCCACAUUGGUACUGAGACACGGACCAAACUCCUACGGGAGGCAGCAGUGAGGAAUAUUGGUCAAUGGCCGAGAGGCUGAACCAGCCAAGUCGCGUGAAGGAAGAAGGAUCUAUGGUUUGUAAACUUCUUUUAUAGGGGAAUAAAGUGGAGGACGUGUCCUUUUUUGUAUGUACCCUAUGAAUAAGCAUCGGCUAACUCCGUGCCAGCAGCCGCGGUAAUACGGAGGAUGCGAGCGUUAUCCGGAUUUAUUGGGUUUAAAGGGUGCGUAGGUGGUGAUUUAAGUCAGCGGUGAAAGUUUGUGGCUCAACCAUAAAAUUGCCGUUGAAACUGGGUUACUUGAGUGUGUUUGAGGUAGGCGGAAUGCGUGGUGUAGCGGUGAAAUGCAUAGAUAUCACGCAGAACUCCGAUUGCGAAGGCAGCUUACUAAACCAUAACUGACACUGAAGCACGAAAGCGUGGGGAUCAAACAGGAUUAGAUACCCUGGUAGUCCACGCAGUAAACGAUGAUUACUAGGAGUUUGCGAUACAAUGUAAGCGGUACAGCGAAAGCGUUAAGUAUUCCAC